AUUGAACGCUGGCGGCAUGCCUUACACAUGCAAGUCGAACGGCAGCACGGGAGCAAUCCUGGUGGCGAGUGGCGAACGGGUGAGUAAUAUAUCGGAACGUGCCCAGUCGUGGGGAUAACGUAGCGAAAGCUACGCUAAUACCGCAUACGAUCUAUGGAUGAAAGCGGGGGAUCGCAAGACCUCGCGCGAUUGGAGCGGCCGAUAUCAGAUUAGGUAGUUGGUGAGGUAAAGGCUCACCAAGCCGACGAUCUGUAGCUGGUCUGAGAGGACGACCAGCCACACUGGGACUGAGACACGGCCCAGACUCCUACGGGAGGCAGCAGUGGGGAAUUUUGGACAAAUGGGCGCAAGCCUGAUCCAGCAAUGCCGCGUGCAGGAUGAAAGGCCUUCGGUUGUAAACGUGACUUUGUACGGAACGAACGGUGAGCUCGUAAUA
rnacentral:rRNA from 1 species